rnacentral:rRNA from 1 species
CACGUAGUUAGCCGUGACUUUCUGGUUAGGUACCGUCAAAGUCGAGACAGUUACUCCUCGACUUGUUCUUCUCUAAUAACAGAACUUUACGAUCCGAAGACCUUCUUCAUUCACGCGGCAUUGCUCCAUCAGACUUUCGUCCAUUGUGGAAGAUUCCCUACUGCUGCCUCCCGUAGGAGUCUGGGCCGUGUCUCAGUCCCAGUGUGGCCGAUCACCCUCUCAGGUCGGCUACGUAUCAUUGUCUUGGUAGGCCUUUACCCCACCAACUAACUAAUACGCCGCGGGAUCAUCUAAGAGCGACAGCCGAAGCCGUCUUUCGUUCAAGAACCAUGCGGUUCCAGAAGAUAUGCGGUAUUAGCAUCCGUUUCCGAAUGUUAUCCCCCACUCCUAGGCAGAUUUCCCACGUGUUACUCACCCGUUCGCCACUCAUCCGCACUCUGCAAGCAGAGUGCUUCAGCGUUCGACUUGCAUGUAUUAGGCAUGCCGCCAGCGUUCGUCC